GGGAAGGUGGCUCAGUGGUAGAGUGCUUGUCUUGCAUGCAUGAGGCCCUGCGCUCAAUUCCUCCCCA
rnacentral:tRNA from 1 species